rnacentral:lncRNA from 1 species
UCUAUCAUACUCUAUUGAUUAUAAUCUCAAAGUUUUGAUAUCACUUAUAUGACAAUCCCUAGUGACCUUAAACUUGGGCUCUAGUACUGUUCUGUCAUAUCCUAAUCACUUGUAUCAUUGUCUCCAAAUAAACGUAACCUAACCUCUAAGCUCAGAUGCCACUCUGUCACAUCCUACUGAUCUUAUAUAAAGUUUUAAUAUCUCUUCAUAAUCUCUGGUGACCUUAAACCUGAGCUAUGAUAUUAUUCUAUCACAUCAUAAUCAUUUAUAUCGUAAUCUCCAAUGAUCAUAACCUAAGCUCUAAUAUCACUCUGUAAUAUUCUAAUCACUUAUAUUAUAAUCCCUAAUGAUCAUAACCUACGCUCUGAUACCAUUCUGUCAUGCCUCGAACCCAACACCCGGGUCGGAUACGUGAUGGCCGCACACUCCUUAGAGCAAGCCCUAAAGAAUAUGCAAGGCCAAAUUAAACCAUUACAACCUUAUCAACCAUAAUAAUUUAUUUCAACAAUAAUUCAUAAAAUCUUGCAUAAUUACAAUUUAAAUUUCUUCAAUUCUCUGAUCAGAUACUAUGAUACUUUUAUCUAUCCUUCU